rnacentral:rRNA from 1 species
AUUGAACGCUGGCGGCAGGCUUAACACAUGCAAGUCGAGCGGAGUGAUGGUGCUUGCACUAUCACUUAGCGGCGGACGGGUGAGUAAUGCUUAGGAAUCUGCCAUUUAGUGGGGGACAACAUUCCGAAAGGAAUGCUAAUACCGCAUACGUCCUACGGGAGAAAGCAGGGGAUCUUCGGGCCUUGCGCUAAAUGAUGAGCCUAAGUCGGAUUAGCUAGUUGGUGGGGUAAAGGCCUACCAAGGCGACGAUCUGUAGCGGGUCUGAGAGGAUGAUCCGCCACACUGGGACUGAGACACGGCCCAGACUCCUACGGGAGGCAGCAGUGGGGAAUAUUGACAAUGGGCGGAAGCCUGAUCCAGCCAUGCCGCGUGUGUGAAGAAGGCCUUUUGGUUGUAAAGCACUUUAAGCGAGGAGGAGGCUACUAGUACUAAUACUACUGGAUAGUGGACGUUACUCGCAGAAUAAGCACCGGCUAACUCUGUGCCAGCCGCCGCAGUAACAC